ACUCAGCUGUCUCUUCAGGAUUCGGUCUGUGAUUUUCGAAUGGGUAGUUGGAGGGCCCCUCAGAGGGUUCUGAAGACACUCUUUGCCACCUCCAGAGCGGAUGUGAAAACCACAGCACCUGGUUCCCUGACACACACACCCUCUCCUGUGAGGUUACUAGGCUCGAGGCUGUUUGGCGCAUGACUUCAGUGCCUGCCAUGUUUGGGGAGAAUGGAAAUGUGCUUGUUUCUCCCUUGCACACUGCAUAGAAAACAAACUGUGUUAGAGAAAAUGCCUGCAUCUGUUUGAGUAGGCAAAGACCUGAAAUAAACAUUCUCCCAUAAUCUCCACCUAAGUGUGGCCACCGUAAUUCAUGUCUCUACGAGUGGAUAUAAAGGAGGACGGGAUUGCUGGUCUCUUUUUGAAUGCGUCCUUGUGCAGCUGCUCCGCCAGGAUGCAUGCUUUCACAAGUCCAGGUUCCUAGCAGGCUCUUCAACCAGCAGCCACCUUCUCCUUUUCUAGAGAACCCAUUCUCAAGCCCGGGAGUUCCAUGUGUGUCUGCAGACAGUGUGACAAGACCAGUCUCCCUCACGCACUGCUGUCGAGUUGGUCCCGACGCUGGGAACCUGUCGGACAGACAGAGCGAACAAUAUCCCUGUUGGCUGGAUUGCGUGUACAUGGCUGGCCGUCCCCAUUCCUCGUGUUCACGACCAUAGAUCCCUGGGUGUCCGGGCAUCCUGGCACUGAGGACACUGGACUGGAAAACAGUUGGACAGCCUCUGCCGAAGUUAAGGCCACUUAGGUCCGUUCGCCUUUGUGCAGAUAAAAAACUAGCAUGAGCUUGCUGGCCUCUUGAGUACAUGCAUGAUCAGCCCUCCAUCAGCCUGCCUUCUUGCAGACGUCCAGGAAUUCUUCCAAGCCCCUACAGGAACCGGGUGGCUACCUUCUCCACAUCUACAGCGGAUACUCAGCCCAGCAGGGUUCACUUUGGGCCUGCAUACAGCUGGUAACAAUCCUACUGUCGUGAUGGUAACUGGAGCGCCUUCUACACCCGGAGAAGUAUUCAAGCGUCCCUCCUCUCUCCGCCCUUGCAAAGGAAAAGAAAAGCACCACCUCUCUAUCCGUCCGCCGAGCCGAUCAUGUCCCUGUUGGCUGGCUUGCACGUACGUGGCCGUCGGUCUCCAGCUCCCUGGUUGACGGCAGUGGCGUCUGGGUGUCUGCGCAUCUCCAUGCUGAUGGAAGUAGACUGGAAAACAAAGCGAGAGGAGAGACAACACUGCUCCCCUCUAGGCGGUGGAGUCA